GUUGCAGAUGCAGGGGAGAUGGCAUGGUUGGGGUGGCGCAAGUGGACUGAACUUCUGCGUUUGUCUAGGCCACACUGCUAUUCUUUAAAUGCACUUCACUUUAAUGAAAUAUUCUACCUUCUUUUUCAGAAAACAGUUACAGUGUUUGCAUGCAUUAAAGUGUAGCACUCAUCAGAGCUAUUGGAGUUCUUUUCUGUUACAAAUGACCUGUUCAAAAAUAAAACUUGGGAGAUUGCGGCUAACCUGGUUUUAGGGAGACUUCCCUGCCCCUCCUGCCGUCGUGGGAACUGCCCUGUCCAGACAGACUUUCUCUAAAUGUAACGUAUAUCCAUCCGCAAGCUGUACAUCUAGUGCUAUCUGACACCUAUUAGCUUUUACUGCCCUCCUUGUGGCCUUUCUGAGUACUGUAUUCUAUCCCAGGACACAGUCUCUGGACAGACUGUCAGUCAGAGGCCUUUAUCAUUAGCUUAUUGUGGACCUGCCGUCCUGUAGACCUUUCAUGCCAUCUACUGGGACUCUACUGGUGGUGAGUUUUUCUUUGGCAUUGCCUUAGUUGACUUUUAUGUGUAUUUUGUUAAUUAGCAUAAAUACUUGUAUCAAUGUAUAUAACUAUGUAUACUCAGUUCCAAAACAAUUAGCUUGACAAUGUGUCCCCAUGGGGGGAAAAAAAAGUAAACUUUCUAUUGAAAUCA